AGGGCAGUAGCUCAGUUGGUAGAGCAGCGGUCUCCAAAACCGCAGGUCGUGGGUUCGAGUCCCUCCUGCCCUG
rnacentral:tRNA from 2 species